GAUGAACGCUGGCGGCGUGCCUAAUACAUGCAAGUCGAGCGAACAGAUAAGGAGCUUGCUCCUUUGACGUUAGCGGCGGACGGGUGAGUAACACGUGGGUAACCUACCUAUAAGACUGGGAUAACUUCGGGAAACCGGAGCUAAUACCGGAUAACAUUUGGAACCGCAUGGUUCUAAAGUGAAAGAUGGUUUUGCUAUCACUUAUAGAUGGACCCGCGCCGUAUUAGCUAGUUGGUAAGGUAACGGCUUACCAAGGCGACGAUACGUAGCCGACCUGAGAGGGUGAUCGGCCACACUGGAACUGGGACACGGUCCAGACUCCUACGGGAGGCAGCAGUAGGGAAUCUUCCGCAAUAGGCGAAAGCCUGACGGAGCAACGCCGCGUGAGUGAUGAAGGGUUUCGGCUCGUAAAACUCUGUUAUUAGGGAAGAACAAAUGUGUAAGUAACUGUGCACGUCUUGACGGUACCUAAUCAGAAAGCCACGGCUAACUACGUG
rnacentral:rRNA from 1 species